rnacentral:rRNA from 1 species
UACGUAGGUGGCUAGCGUUGUCCGGAUUUACUGGGCGUAAAGAGCGCGCAGGCGGUCGUUCAAGUCGAGUGUGAAAGCCCCCGGCUCAACUGGGGAGGGUCACUCGAUACUGAUCGACUUGAAGGCGGGAGAGGGAAGCGGAAUUCCCGGUGUAGUGGUGAAAUGCGCAGAUAUCAGGAGGAACACCGAUGGCGAAGGCAGCUCGCUGGGACGGUACUGACGCUGAGGCGCGAAAGCGUGGGGAGCAAACAGG